rnacentral:rRNA from 1 species
CCUACGGGCGGCAGCAGUGAGGAAUAUUGGUCAAUGGACGAGAGUCUGAACCAGCCAAGUCGCGUGAAGGAUGAAGGCUCUAUGGUUUGUAAACUUCUUUUAUAUGGGAAUACAGUGAAGGAUGUGUUCCUUUUUGUAUGUACCAUAUGAAUAAGCAUCGGCUAACUCCGUGCCAGCAGCCGCGGUACUACGGAGGAUGCGAGCGUUAUCCGGAUUUAUUGGGUUUAAAGGGAGCGUAGGUGGUGAAUUAAGUCAGCUGUGAAAGUUUGUGGCUCAACCAUAAAAUUGCAGUUGAAACUGGUUGACUUGAGUGUAUUAGAGGUAGGCGGAAUGCGUGGUGUAGCGGUGAAAUGCAUAGAUAUCACGAAGAACUCCGAUUGCGAAGGCAGCUUACUAAACUAUAACUGACGCUGAAGCACGAAAGCGUGGGGAUCAAACAGGAUUAGAUACCCUGGUAGUC